rnacentral:misc_RNA from 1 species
AACUCGCACAGUCCAUUUUGGAAAAGCAUCAGCACAUGAGAAAGCAUGCUAUACUGCGGUAUGUGACUUUAGUUGCAUUCUAUGGACAUAUAAUUUGUUUGGAAAUCAAGUUUUGUGUAGCUCUGACACUGAGUUCCUGUGGUUAAUUUUUUUCUCUUAUCAAAUUUAUUGAUGGAUUGUACUCUUGUUUUUAUUGUACAUGAAGGGAAUUCAUUUCUUUUUGAAUUUAUGACAUUGAUAUUUGUUGUUUGUACUAUUAUUAUUGUAUGGAUGUUAACAUGUGAAGUUGGUCUCAUGCAGGUUCUUAAGGGUCACAUUGCCCUCGGUAAU